rnacentral:rRNA from 1 species
UACGUAGGGGGCAAGCGUUGUCCGGAAUCAUUGGGCGUAAAGAGCGUGUAGGCGGCUCGGUAAGUCCGCUGUGAAAGUCCAGGGCUCAACCCUGGAAUGCCGGUGGAAACUGUCGAGCUAGAGUCCGGAAGAGGCGAGUGGAAUUCCUGGUGUAGCGGUGAAAUGCGCAGAUAUCAGGAGGAACACCAAUUGCGAAGGCGGCGCUCUGGGCUGGAACUGACGCUGAGGAGCGAAAGCGUGGGGAGCGAACAGG